CCCUGAGGGUGGGGGCACCCUCAGGGCACUAUAGUGCCAGGAAAACGAGUAUGUUUUCCUGGCACUAUAAAUAUCCCUUAAAAUACAUAGUUACUUAGUGGAGAAAUAUUUGAUGGAACUUUACUGCAGGAAUAAGGUCGGGUUUGUGAAUGGACACAUCACCUCAAUAGGUGCAUUCAUUCCCAGGUUGAGCAAUGAUGUUGGCCAGGAGCGUCUGGAUAUCAGGUAAGUUAUAUCUUAAUUUUAUUUUUUAUUUUUUUACAGUUUAUGGGAAGGAGGGGACCUGAAGAAUAAUGCCCUUUAAGGCAUUGUAAAAAAAAAAACAACAAAGGCAAAAAAAGGGUUGGAGUACUUCUUUAACCUUUUUUUUAGAUUCUAUGUAAUUUUAAAAAUGUUAUACCUAUAUUAUGGUUGCUGGCACCCUGUAACUAUUGGAAGCCAAUGCUAUCAUCCUCCAUCUGCUUGGAACUGAGAUUGGCAAUAUAACCUUUUAUUACAGUAUUUUAAUUUUUUAAUUAUGUGGGUUUUACACUCAGCAGCGAGAUUUUGCUGGCUGUAAUUCCAGGCUUUUGAUGGAAUGACACUUAUUGCUGCUGGCAAGGUAAGACUGAUGGGAGUUACAAUGUAGUUAUAUUUGUGAAAUUAUCAUUACACAGCUAUAGGUUAAUACUCCAUAUGACUCCUGGGCAAUAAACAUGUAAUACAGUGAAUCAUUUCAUACACUAACAGUUAUUGAUAAUGCAAGUAUGACUAUUGAUUAGGGUUGUGUCUCUUUGUGUAUUUCUGUUGGUUUCCAUUUGUAAAAAUCUUUUUAUGCUUGCAUUUUGUUUCUCUGUGAUAUACUAUAAUGGUAAGCCGUGUCUGGGUAAAAGGUGUGACUGUGUUGUCAGUUUGGCUGUCUACAACAGACCGAUCUCAGAUAACAACUUGAAUAGAAUGUGCAGAAUAGAUUGCUAUGCAGUUGUAUGUAGACGUUAUUGUGUAUCCUGAGGGAAAUGUUUAAAGAGUCAACAAUCCGAUGCUAUUAUAAAAUACAUUUUGAUAGCAGUGGCUCCUUAGAAUAUUGAUGAAUGUAUAUUAACAUUGGUAUUUGUAUAAAUGGAGGUGUCUGUUAGCCUGUCAAAAAAACAUGUUGUAAGGGAGGACACAUUGUGAUAACUAUCUCAGGGAUUUCCUAAGGUAACAGGGAUAUUAGUAGAAAACCAGAAACAUGUCCAUUUCCUUGAAAGUUAGUUUGUAAUUUGGACAGUAUAGAAGCACAAGGUCACAAGUCAGACAGAGAACAUCUUAUAUCCUUAAAGAAUAUACCAUCUAAGCCACAUCUUUACCAGCUAAGAUUUCCACCUUCCUCCCCUCAUUCUUCUUAACGGAUGGGCACACUGGCCAUUGCCCGGGGCCACGGGCAUAGGGGCCCCAUAGGCUUAUCAACCUUUAGUAUAUUAUAUUCCAGGAGAUGUAUUCAGAACCUUCAAACCCUCUUUACUAAACCGUAUACGUGGACUAGUCACCUCAGUAUUGACAUACUGAAAACCAAUUACUUCAUGCCAGUUUUAAAGCCAUUAUCUGCAAAGAAAUUUUGCAAAUGUUUGUGUUGAUUACUUGAUUACUAAUAAAUCAUUCAAGGAA